rnacentral:rRNA from 1 species
AUUGAACGCUGGCGGCAGGCCUAACACAUGCAAGUCGAGCGGAAACGAAGGGAGCUUGCUCCCAGGCGUCGAGCGGCGGACGGGUGAGUAACACGUGAGAAUCUGCCCAUUAGUGGGGGACAACUCGGGGAAACUCGAGCUAAUACCGCAUAAUCCCUACGGGGGAAAGCAGGGGACCUUUUGGCCUUGCGCUGCUGGGUGAGCUCACGUCGGGUUAGCUUGUUGGUGAGGUAAAGGCUCACCAAGGCGACGAUCCGUAGCUGGUCUGAGAGGAUGAUCAGCCACACUGGGACUGAGACACGGCCCAGACUCCUACGGGAGGCAGCAGUGGGGAAUCUUGGACAAUGGGGGCAACCCUGAUCCAGCCAUGCCGCGUGUGUGAAGAAGGCCUUCGGGUUGUAAAGCACUUUCAGCAGGGAGGAAGGCUUUGGCCGAAUAGGUUGAAGUACUUGACGUUACCUGCAGAAGAAGCACCGGCUAAUUUCGUGCCAGCAGCCGCAGUAA